UACGGAGGAUGCAAGCGUUAUCCGGAUUUAUUGGGUUUAAAGGGUGCGCAGGUGGUUGAAUAAGUCAGUGGUGAAAGUCUGGCGCUUAACGUUAGGAUUGCCAUUGAUACUGUUUGACUUGAAUAUGGAUGAGGUAGGCGGAAUGUGUAGUGUAGCGGUGAAAUGCUUAGAUAUUACACAGAACACCGAUUGCGAAGGCAGCUUACUAAUCCAUUAUUGACGCUGAGGCACGAAAGCGUGGGGAUCAAACAGGAUUAGAUACCCUGGUAGUCCACGCUGUAAACGAUGAUCACUCGCUGUUUGCGAUAUACAGUAAGCGGCUAAGCGAAAGCGUUAAGUGAUCCACCUGGGGAGUACGAUCGCAAGGUUGAA
rnacentral:rRNA from 1 species